rnacentral:rRNA from 1 species
GAUGAACGCUGGCGGCGUGCCUAAUACAUGCAAGUCGAGCGAACAGAUGAGAAGCUUGCUUCUCUGAUGUUAGCGGCGGACGGGUGAGUAACACGUGGGUAACCUACCUAUAAGACUGGGAUAACUCCGGGAAACCGGGGCUAAUACCGGAUAAUAUUUUGAACCGCAUGGUUCAAUAGUGAAAGACGGUUUCGGCUGUCACUUAUAGAUGGACCCGCGCCGUAUUAGCUAGUUGGUAAGGUAAUGGCUUACCAAGGCGACGAUACGUAGCCGACCUGAGAGGGUGAUCGGCCACACUGGAACUGAGACACGGUCCAGACUCCUACGGGAGGCAGCAGUAGGGAAUCUUCCGCAAUGGGCGAAAGCCUGACGGAGCAACGCCGCGUGAGUGAUGAAGGUCUUCGGAUCGUAAAACUCUGUUGUUAGGGAAGAACAAAUUUGUUGGUAACUGAACAAGUCUUGACGGUACCUAACCAGAAAGCCACGGCUAACUACGUGCCAGCCGCCGCCGUAACAC